rnacentral:rRNA from 1 species
GACGAACGCUGGCGGCGUGCUUAACACAUGCAAGUCGAGCGGUAAGGCCUUUCGGGGUACACGAGCGGCGAACGGGUGAGUAACACGUGGGUGAUCUGCCCUGCACUCUGGGAUAAGCCUGGGAACCUGGGUCUAAUACUGGAUAUGACCUCAGCAUGCAUGUGCUGGGGUGGAAAGCUUUUGUGGUGCAGGAUGGGCCCGCGGCCUAUCAGCUUGUUGGUUGGGUAAUGGCCUACCAAGGCGACGACGGGUAGCCGACCUGAGGGGGUGGCCGGCCACACUGGGACUGAGACACGGCCCAGACGCCUACGGGAGGCAGCAGUGGGGAAUAUUGCACAAUGGGCGGAAGCCUGAUGCAGCGACGCCGCGUGAGGGAUGAAGGCCUUCGGGUUGUAAACCUCUUUCAGCAGGGACGAAGCGUGAGUGACGGUACCUGCAGAAGAAGCACCGGCUAACUACGUGCCAGCAGCCGCGGUAA